rnacentral:snRNA from 1 species
CUACAAUGUGAAAAGGAUUCAC